rfam:Oryza rufipogon genomic scaffold, chr02
AACAAGUGCAGCCAUAAGUUUCCGCGUCCAACUUUGAUUGUCCGUCUUAUUUGAAAUUUUUUUAUAAUUAGUAUUUUUAUUGUUAUGAGAUGAUACAACAUGAAUGGUACUUUACUCGUGACUUAUUUUUUUUUUCAAAAAAUUUUCAAAUAAGACGAGCGGUCAAAGUUGGGCACGAAAAACCAUGGCUGCAUUUAUU